GUGUCGUGAGUACGCGAGAAAGAUGGCAGAAUCAAAAUCGAAGUCAAGAAAGAGAGCAUAUGUAUAUAGCAAUCCAUAUUCUCUUGCUUGAACUUUGAAGUAUGACUCUUUUGCGAUGCCAACGUCAAGCCGUACAGGCACAGUUCCCCGAGUUGGAUCAUUAGGUGCCAGGCAAAUGCAAGGGACAUCGUAUGCAACUGCUCAGACCAAGAAUGGACGUACUGCUAAUUAUACACAAGAAAGUCCUGCAUUUUCCGGCUCCAUAACAUUACCAGUUUUGUCAUCAGAAGCCGAACAAUAUUAUAGUUUGAUCAAGUCAACGGGUUCAUAUAUGCCCGUAAACGAAUCUCUGGAUGUAUUCGUUCUGUUAGACUGCGAUGAGCACACAAAAUUCA